rnacentral:rRNA from 1 species
AAUGAACGCUGGCGGCAGGCCUAACACAUGCAAGUCGAACGGAUCCUUCGGGAUUAGUGGCGGACGGGUGAGUAACGCGUGGGAACGUGCCCUUUGGUUCGGAAUAGCCUCGGGAAACUGGGAGUAAUACCGGAUAAGCCCUUCGGGGGAAAGAUUUAUCGCCAAAGGAUCGGCCCGCGUUGGAUUAGGUAGUUGGUGGGGUAAUGGCCUACCAAGCCGACGAUCCAUAGCUGGUUUGAGAGGAUGAUCAGCCACACUGGGACUGAGACACGGCCCAGACUCCUACGGGAGGCAGCAGUGGGGAAUCUUAGACAAUGGGGGAAACCCUGAUCUAGCCAUGCCGCGUGAUCGAUGAAGGCCUUAGGGUUGUAAAGAUCUUUCAGUUGGGAAGAUAAUGACGGUACCAGCAGAAGAAGCCCCGGCUAACUCCGUGCCAGCCGCCGCUUAACAC